rnacentral:rRNA from 1 species
ACUUAGUGGCAGACGGGUGAGUAACAUGUGGGUAUCUACCCUUUGGCCUGGAAUAACACGAGGAAACUUGUGCUAAUACCGGAUAAGUCUUUACGGAGAAAGCUUUAUGCACCAUUGGAUGAGCCCGCACUUGAUUAGCUUGUUGGUAGGGUAAUGGCCUACCAAGACUAUGAUCAAUAGCUGAUUUGAGAGGAUGAUCAGCCACAUUGGGACUGAGACACGGCCCAAACUCCUACGGGAGGCAGCAGUGGGGAAUCUUGCACAAUGGAGGAAACUCUGAUGCAGCGAUGCCGCGUGAGUGAAGAAGGCCUUUGGGUUGUAAAGCUCUUUCGUCGGGGAAGAAAAUGACUGUACCCGAAUAAGAAGGUCCGGCUAACUUCGUGCCAGCAGCCGCGGUAAUACGAAGGGACCUAGCGUAGUUCGGAAUUACUGGGCUUAAAGAGUUCGUAGG